rnacentral:rRNA from 2 species
AGGUUAAGCUACAAAGAGCACACGGAGGAUGCCUAGGCGCCAGGAGCCGACGAAGGACGUGGC